rnacentral:rRNA from 1 species
AGGUGCGAUCAUACCAGCACUAAUGCACCGGAUCCCAUCAGAACUCCGCAGUUAAGUAGUAGUACUAGGAUGGGUGACCUCCUGGGAAGUCCUCGUGUUGCACCUU